rnacentral:lncRNA from 1 species
CCGACCGACCGACACACCUCGAGCAACGAACCCCAAGAGGGCCCCACAAUGGCACCGGAGCGGCGGGAGUGGGUCUUGCCGCGUCGUCGUCGUCGUCAGCGGAGGACCCGUCGUCUCGGAGGAUCGCCGCUCGACGCCGUCCAUGCGUGGAGCUUCGGCGUGUCACACCGAUACUAGCACCUGCUCGACAAAACGACGCCGCACGUCCUCCAACGCUGGCUCGCAACCCUUGGCGUGGCCUUGGUCUACGUCCUCCGCGUCUACUUCGUC